GAUUCGAUGGCGUAGUCGGAUAUCGCAUCUGUGUUAUAUCGUAUUUCAUCGCUUCGGCUCAUGUUAUGCACAGAAGGUACCCCAGUUCGAGUCUGGGUCGAAUCA